UACGUAGGGUGCGAGCGUUUGUCCGGAAUUACUGGGCGUAAAGAGCUCGUAGGUGGUUUGUCGCGUUGUUCGUGAAAACUCACAACUCAAUUGUGGGCGUGCGGGCGAUACGGGCAGACUGGAGUACUGCAGGGGGAGACUGGAAUUCCUGGUGUAGCGGUGGAAUGCGCAGAUAUCAGGAGGAACACCGGUGGCGAAGGCGGGUCUCUGGGCAGUAACUGACGCUGAGGAGCGAAAGCGUGGGGAGCGAACAGG
rnacentral:rRNA from 1 species